UACGUAGGGCGCAAGCGUUGUCCGGAAUUAUUGGGCGUAAAGAGCUCGUAGGCGGUUUGUCGCGUCUGCUGUGAAAACCUAAGGCUCAACCUUGGGCUUGCAGUGGGUACGGGCAGACUAGAGUGCGGUAGGGGUGACUGGAAUUCCUGGUGUAGCGGUGGAAUGCGCCAGAUAUCAGGAGGAACACCGAUGGCGAAGGCAGGUCACUG
rnacentral:rRNA from 1 species